CUUUGGGAUAACCCUCGGAAACGGGGGCUAAUACCGGAUAUGACCUCCUGUCGCAUGGCGGGGGGUGGAAAGUUUUUCGGCCUGGGAUGGGCUCGCGGCCUAUCAGCUUGUUGGUGGGGUGAUGGCCUACCAAGGCGGCGACGGGUAGCCGGCCUGAGAGGGCGACCGGCCACACUGGGACUGAGACACGGCCCAGACUCCUACGGGAGGCAGCAGUGGGGAAUAUUGCACAAUGGGCGGAAGCCUGAUGCAGCGACGCCGCGUGAGGGAUGACGGCCUUCGGGUUGUAAACCUCUUUCAGCAGGGACGAAGCGCAAGUGACGGUACCUGCAGAAGAAGCGCCGGCCAACUACGUGCCAGCAGCCGCGGUAAGACGUAGGGCGCGAGCGUUGUCCGGAUUUAUUGGGCGUAAAGAGCUCGUAGGCGGCUUGUCGCGUCGACCGUGAAAACUUGGGGCUCAGCCCCAAGCCUGCGGUCGAUACGGGCAGGCUAGGGUUCGGUAGGGGAGACUGGAAUUCCUGGUGUAGCGGUGAAAUGCGCAGAUAUCAGGAGGAACACCGGUGGCGAGGGCGGGUCUCUGGGCCGAUACUGACGCUGAGGAGCGAAAGCGUGGGGAACGAACAGGAUUAGAUACCCUGGUAGUCCACGCUGUAAACGUUGGGCGC
rnacentral:rRNA from 1 species